UGGGGAAUUUUGGACAAUGGGGGAAACCCUGAUCCAGCCAUCCCGCGUGUGCGAUGAAGGCCUUCGGGUUGUAAAGCACUUUUGGCAGGAAAGAAACGUCAUGGGUUAAUACCCCGUGAAACUGACGGUACCUGCAGAAUAAGCACCGGCUAACUACGUGCCAGCAGCCGCGGUAAUACGUAGGGUGCAAGCGUUAAUCGGAAUUACUGGGCGUAAAGCGUGCGCAGGCGGUUCGGAAAGAAAGAUGUGAAAUCCCAGAGCUCAACUUUGGAACUGCAUUUUUAACUACCGGGCUAGAGUGUGUCAGAGGGAGGUGGAAUUCCGCGUGUAGUAGUGAAAUGCGUAGAUAUGCGGAGGAACACCGAUGGCGAAGGCAGCCUCCUGGGAUAACACUGACGCUCAUGCACGAAAGCGUGGGGAGCAAACAGG
rnacentral:rRNA from 1 species